rnacentral:misc_RNA from 1 species
UCUCCGUUGGUGAACCAGCGGAGGGAUCAUUAAUGAGUUAAAAAACUCCUAAACCCACUGUGAACAUACCAUUUUGUUGCCUCGGCAGGUUGUGUUUGCCCUGUAGCUGCUACCCUGGACCUACCCUGGACCUACCCUGUAGCUACCCGGUAACACGUUUAACGGCCUGCCGGUGGUCUUCUAAACUCUUGCUAUAUAUUGCGAAUUCUGAACAAGUAAAACUUAAUAAGUUAAAACUUUCAACAACGGAUCUCUUGGUUCUGGCAUCGAUGAAGAACGCAGC